UGGCUCAGUGGUAGAGCGCUUGCCUCGCAUGCAUGAAGCCCUGGGUUCAAUUCCUCAG
rnacentral:tRNA from 1 species